rnacentral:rRNA from 1 species
UGUAGCAAUACAGGUGGCGCACGGCGCACGGGUGCGUAACACGUGGGUAACCUGCCCUUUAGUGGGGAAUAACCUCGCGAAAGCGAGGCUAAUUCCGCAUAAGAUCCGCAAGGAUGAAAGCCGAAAGGCGCUGAUGGAGGGGCCCGCGCACGAUUAGCUAGUUGGUGAGGUAAUGGCUCACCAAGGCUAUGAUCGUUAGCUGGUCUGAGAGGAUGGCCAGCCACACUGGAACUGAGACACGGUCCAGACUCCUACGGGAGGCAGCAGUGGGGAAUCUUGCACAAUGGGCGAAAGCCUGAUGCAGCGACGCCGCGUGGGGGAUGAAGCUUCUCGGAGUGUAAACCCCUUUCGACCCGGACGAAUACCUCGCAAGAGGGGUGACGGUACGGGUAUAAGAAGCCCCGGCUAACUACGUGCCAGCAGCCGCGGUAAGACGUAGGGGGCCAGCGUUGUUCGGAAUUACUGGGUGUAAAGGGUUCGUAGGCGGUGUGGCAAGUCGGGAGUGAAAUUUCUGGGCUCAACUCAGAGACUGCUUCCGAAACUGCUGUGCUGGAGUGUGGGAGAGGCGCGUGGAAUUGCAGGUGUAGCGGUGAAAUGCGUAGAUAUCUGCAGGAACACCCGUGGCGAAAGCGGCGCGCUGGACCACUACUGACGCUGAGGAACGAAAGCUAGGGGAGCAAACAGGAUUAGAUACCCUGGUAGUCCUAGCCCUAAACGAUCAGGACUUGGGGUGCCACCCGUUCGGGUGUCGUCCCGGAGCUAACGCGUUAAGUCCUGCACCUGGGGAGUACGGUCGCAAGACUGAAACUC